AGGAAUCAGCACCGGCUAACUCCGUGCCAGCAGCCGCGGUAAUACGGAGGGUGCAAGCGUUGUCCGGAUUUAUUGGGUUUAAAGGGUGCGUAGGUGGCGUCUUAAGUCUGGUUUGAAAGCAGGCGGCUCAACCGUGUGAUGUGGCUGGAAACUGGGGCGCUUGAAUGGGUUGGCGGUAGCCGGAAUGGGUCAUGUAUCGGUGAAAUGCAUAGAUAUGACCCGGAACACCGAUUGCGAAGGCAGGCUACUACGACUUGAUUGACACUGAGGCACGAGAGCCGGG
rnacentral:rRNA from 1 species